rnacentral:sRNA from 1 species
GCUGGGCGUGGUGGCGGGCGCCUGUAAUCCCAGCUACUCGGGAGGCUGAGGCAGGAGAAUCGCUUGAACCCAGGGGCUGGAGGUUGCAGUCAGCCGAGAUCGUGCCACUUCACUCCAGCCUGGGCGAAAGAGCGAGACUCCGCCUCAA